rnacentral:tRNA from 1 species
GGGGGGGGAGCUCAGUGGUAGAGCAUUCAUCUGGCAUGUGUAAGGCACUGGGUUCAAAUCUCAGCACCACAU